GGGGGAGGGAAAUCGCCCAUAUAGACUCACACAAUCUGCCCAAUGUUCAGUUUCUGGAAUCGUCUGUUUCCCCCUUUCUGCCUGGAGGGAAGUGUGAGUUACCUAUCGAGAGCAAUGCUGAGGAAGUGCUGUAACUGAGCAGCAGCAAAUACAGGUCUGGCUCAUGUUUUGUCUAAUUUUGAUCAUAGUUCGUGUGAUGUCUUGGCUGCCACUUUAUAUUGAGUAGGGAAGAAGAGAUGUUCCUGCCAAAGCACAGCUAUGUUGAAUUUCUGAAUUUAAGCGGCCUUAUUUCAGCCGCAGGAAGACAAAAAACCAUUUUUACAGAUAUUUCAGGGGUUCUGUCUUCAAAAAUUGGUGAGAUACUCUAUACUUUCUUAUCUCUAUGAGCAUCGCAGCCCCUAGGUCUAUGACAACAAAGAGGUACAGCAUUUUUUUUAAAAAACCAUACUGCCGCAUGACACUUCCGGUUCUUAUCAGAAUGCUCCAUGUGCGGGGCUGGAGUGUUGGAAGGAACCAAUGCAACAUUUUAAAUAAAACAGGCAGGAUCCUCUUCGUUGAUGUGAUAAAAUCUUACUGACACAACUUCCAGAAAGACAGCUGUAUUAUAACCUGCUUCUUAUUAUGGCAUAAACUGUCAUGGCCUACUUAGGACAAUGCAUCUGAUGAAAUGGGCUCUGGUCUAACAAAGCUUAUGUUCUGAUUUAUUUGUGUAUUAUAUUUAGACUCCACUUCCUCUACACAAAAUUCAAAGGGCCAUACAUAGUUUCCAAGCCUCAUAAGAAGCCCGUCAGACAGGCUAGGCCAAAAGGGUUUGACUGGCCCAAGAUCAUUCACUGGAUCUGCCAGAGGACAUUAUUUCAUCCAGGCAAAAGCACUCAAGGUGGACCAUAGAGCAGGACAAGUGAGAGGUGUUGCCUGGGAAGAGACCUCCUGAGGAAAAGAUAGGGGGGCAUGGAGGGCCAUAUUCAGUUUUCAGACCUGAGGUUCUCCACAAGAACUAAGGGACUUUUGCCCUCCAUGUAAAAAAACAACUAAGCAGCAUGGUGUGUUGACUCACCAGACUCAGUUUUUACAUUCAUAUAGGUAGUAUAAAAGAGUACUGUUGUAAAAGUUUUAGUGGAAGUGCAAAGCCUAAUAUGGACAAAUUUGCUCAGGUUAUAGGUAACCUAUAAAGCACUGCAAAUAUAUUAGGGAAUGUAAAUACAUUAGGAAAUACCAGGCAGACUAUCAGAAUUAUCUUCAUGUACAAGUCUGAAUUAAAGUGUAGGGAGCUUCCUUUUUCAUCCAAAAUUCCAGAUUAGGCCUACAUUCUUAAAAAAUAUAAUCUCCUGAGCUCAGAAAUAUAAUGCAAACAGAGCCCAUUAGGGUUCUGUCUCUGAAACUAGUUUCUCUUCAACUGUUUUCUUGACAGAUGCUGUGACAGCACAAUUAUAAAUAGCCAAUACAUGAAUUACUGAGGUACAUCUGGAACCAGCAGUGUGGUCUUAAACAGAUUGACUUAGAAGGAAGCCCUUCUAAGUUAACUGUAAUGUAUUCCUAAUAAGAAUGCUUAGGACUGCAGCCUCCGUCUCUACUAAAUCAUUUUGGGACUCUCUCUUUUUUUCCUUUUUAGUGGGUAAUGAUAUACAAAUUUAAUAAACCAAACUACUACAUUUAUAGUCUCGUCCCUUUUUGUAAAACAGGGGUUCCAGAACUGUGGUUCGUCAACCAUCAGUGGUCUGUAAGCUUCAUUCAAGUGGUCCACAGCAUGUCUGUGGAUUUAAUGCACAUCCAUGGCAUCAAAUGUUCAUAUUGAUUUUUAAUUGUAUUUUUAUAGCUUAUUUUAUUUCUUAUGUUCUUACUGCAUUACAAUUUGAAUGAUAUGGAAUUACAAUUGCCGCAACAGGCAGGAAAAUCAUUAAGUAAUCUGCUAAGACCCUCAGCAAUUUUCAAGUAGUCCAUGGUGGGGAGGGGGAAGUUUGGGUACCACUGUCUUAAAACAAGCUAGAGAAAAAUGGAGGUCAUCACCUCUAUUUCACAUGAUAAAAGUUGAAGAAAAAAUCUGACCUACUGCAUGCUAGAGCCUGCUUGUUCCCCUGCAAGAGCAAUACCAGCCAGAGCUAAUGACCUCACUGUUCAUAUCCUCUCACCUGCUUUGAUGCAAGACAGACAGGCUCAUAAACCACAGGGGAGAAAGGCCUCUAGCUGUGCUUUUUAAGAGAAACAUUUAUCCAGCUAUCACAUAAAGAGACACAUGAGACACUGUUAUCUGGGAACUUGGUUUGGCACCUGGUCCUAAAAUGCUGCUGCUUGAGGUAUUUUGGUUCCUAUUGGCUCUAAUGCAGGCGAGAUUUGAUACAAUACGUAGCUGGUUUCUUUAUGGCCCUUUAUGGACUUUUAUUAGCAUGUACAUAUCAUAUUCUGCAAGAUUUAGGUGAAAUGGGGAAAAAAUUCAACUCAGAAAUAACCACCAGUACUGUACUUUUAUUUGCUAAUAAAUAUCUUAAUAAAUAGUCUUACUCCAUCUGUAAGACCUGAUAAUGCCUCUUAGGAAAUCAUAGAAAAAUAAAAUACAAUAAUCAUCAGUAACUUGUACGUUGUACAAAUAUCUUAUUAUGUUGCUCAGCAUGUAGCUUUGCCAAACCCCAUAUUCUUUCUGCAAAUAGAUGGCAUAUGAAUGCAAUUCACCUUAAAACACCCUAGUUAUGAGAGCUGAGCAUUUUAUUAUACUACUAACUUAUAGGCAUGCCAGCACAUGAAAAUUUACAUGGAACAUCAUAUUAUCAUAGUAGUAGAUCUCAAAUGAGGAAAAUAAUAACACCUCUCAAGUAAAUGUGGAUUACUUCAUCUUUAAUUUCAAACAGGAAAAUGGCUUCAUUUCCCCCUGGGACUGCAGAUCAGUAUGUUAGGCUUUCCUUUGGACAGUUAUUCCUGCAUUACAAUUUAAGAAAAGAAAGGAAAGUGCAAAUUAAAUAUAAGUGGAAGUAUAGUAAAAGGAAAUAACUGUAAACAAUGGUGCAGACCCAAGGGGAAAACAAGUCAGAUUUCUAAAAUUGACACGUAGCCCUUCUCUUCAAACCUGGUGACUUUAGCUUGCAAUUGUCAGUAAGACACAAACAUAUACAUAUUCAUCAUCUAUGAUGGGCAUAGCUUAAUGUCAAAGAGCACAAACUUCCCGUUCAAACUCCUUAGUUGCUCAGAUGCAUAUGAAAAGCAGGAGCAGUCAGUGUGUGUGUGUGUGUGUGUGUGUGUGUGUGUGUGUGUGAUGUCCACAGUCAGAUCAAUUGAAGAAGAUGUUUCAUAUGAAAUGAUCAGUGAAUGUGCAUGCAAAUUGGCUUUCUUCUUUGAAAUGUGAAGCUCUCCCAAUUUCGGAGUACUCAGAGCAAAUUGCUGGAUGAGGGUGAAACGUUGUUGUUGUGAAUUGCUGCAGUUAUAGUUGACUGUAAAAGUGAAAGAAGCAAUAGCAAAAAGCAAGAGUUGUUUAAUAUACAACAUUUUGAAAACAAUAUGGAAAGAUAGGUAUGUGCUGAUGCCACUUAAUGGUUGUAAAAAAAUCAUCUAUUUGUUUGUUUAUUAAUUGUCAUUAUAUUUAGGUAUAAUAAUACUGCCAUUUUGAAGCCAUGUACCUCGUGUUUUGAAAUUGUUAUUUUAAUUGCUGUGUAAAUAAUUUGCGAACAUAUCAUUUAACAAAUUUUAUGACUGGGCCUGUGAAGCAAAUUAUUUUAGUAUAGCAGUCAAAUGAACAUAAAGACAAAAAAUGAAAAAAAUUAUUUUAAUAUUCAUAUAUUUCAGGUUUUGAGGAAGCUCAAGGAAGAAAACAAACUAGAAAACAAACUGCAUCGUUAACAUUAGAACCAUUUCAAUCUGUAUUUUGGAGAAUGACAGCCACAUUUCCUAAAUGGAGUAAAUUUCUUAAAAGUCAGGAUCAGGUGAAAUAUUGGA